UCUCCCAACCCUUGUACCAGUGCUAGAAUUGUAAAUCACUGGGACAAGGGCUGGAUGAGA
rnacentral:pre_miRNA from 1 species